ensembl:lncRNA
UUGUCUAGAUCUGAACCAGCUUUAAACUAUAGGAAGGUUCGGGUUCGUCAUCGUAAAGAUCACUUUUGGAAAUCGAUUAUGCGCCAAUAUUUACGUGCUCCUCGCCGGCGAUCAAUCCGAGACUCGGGUCCAAUUUUUGACCCCAGUUUGAAGUAGAAACCUGACGCGUGACGCUCCGGAAUGGACAGACUAUACUAUAGUAACAUCACAUAGGCACGUUGUAGCGUGCGAAUAAUUAAAUUGGAAGCAGACAAGAACACUGAGAAACAAACUGUAACAAACUGGUAAGUUAACCCUUUCGCUUCGUAUUGAGGCACUAGUAACCUCCAUCCGGUUAGACGUUUCUUGCGAGUUUGAGUGUGGAGCGCGGCGCAACAUUUUGGCUAUUACCAAAAUUUUUAACUAAGCACUCCCAUCUACUGUCGCCAUUUUAUACAUAGAGGCGACUUCACGCGCCGCAUAUGAGUGGAAUAACAAGGCACGCUUCUCUCUACUAGAACUACUUUUGAAGACUGUUCGCGUCACCGAAAGAAAUCGCUUUCACUUCUUUGAAAAGUCAAAGUUCCCUACCUUUUCGUCGGCUCUGGUGACUGCAAAUGGAAAUCCGUUAUUGAUACAGAAAUAAAUAACAUUUAGGUUUCGCUCCGCUCCGGUUCUCGGGGGAACAGGAGGGGCCGAGACCUCUCCUCAGAUGAACCCUGUGAACUAACGUGAACCCGUCGGGUCACCGCGAUAAGGAGCAUCUACUGCUUUAUGGCACACUGGUUAUGUGCCCGGCUGACAUGGGCGCUGCUGGAGUGGCGAGAAGGGAAAGAAAUGACGGGCUGAGCAGACACACUGAAGGGAGUGACUCAUGCGCAAAUGUCUAAUAUAGCCAGAAAUAUGGAGCAGCGCUUUCGGACGUGGUGGAAGACCUGCUAUCCAGGGGCUCCCCCUCACGCCACAGUGGCAAUUACACCUUCAGAUAUGCAGCUUUUUUCUUUUUUUCUUUUUUUUUUUUUUUUGACAGUACAGGCAGAGAUGAAUCUGAUUGGAUAAAGCCCGAAAACACCUACUGUCCAUUAUGAGAUGGUUGCCAUGCGGUUUGGGCUUUUCCUUCAUUAAGGCCUCGGCACAAAUUUUUCAUGGUGUAAAUACACAAUGAACAUAGUCUAGCUUUGUAAAUAUUAUACACAGGAAAUUGAGGUUAGCUGUCACAGUGACUAUAUUUCAGUAAUAAGGUUUUUACUCAAAAG